CUACGGGUGGCUCCAGUGGGGAAUAUUGGACAAUGGGGGAAACCCUGAUCCAGCAAUGCCGCGUGUGUGAAGAAGGCCUGCGGGUUGUAAAGCACUUUCGGUUGGGAGGACUGCUUCUAGCACUAAUAUUGUUGGAAGUUGACGUUACCUUCAGAAGAAGCACCGGCUAACUCCGUGCCAGCAGCGCGCGGUAAUACGGAGGGUGCAAGCGUUAAUCGGAAUUACUGGGCGUAAAGCGCGCGUAGGCGGCUAGAUCAGUCGGGUGUGAAAGCCCCGGGCUUAACCGGGGAACUGCAUCCGAUACUGUCUAGCUUGAGUACAGGAGAGGAGAGUGGAAUUCCACAUGUAGCGGUGAAAUGCGUAGAUAUGUGGAGGAGCACCAAUGGCGAAGGCAGCUCUCUGGCCUGAUACUGACGCUGAGGCGCGAAAGCGUGGGGAGCAAACAGGAUUAGAUACCCGCGUAGUC
rnacentral:rRNA from 1 species